rnacentral:lncRNA from 1 species
AGUCCUAUUAGGAUUGUGUUAGUGGAGUCUCAUUCCUUUUAUAAGUAGAAUCUCCUUUUGUUUUGAGUCAUAUUCUGAUUACGAGUAAAGUCCCAUUAGGACUGUAUUAAUGGCCUAUAAAAACAGGUCAUCCCUCAUUUUUUAAAGACGAAUACCAAUUUUUCAGAUAAAUUUUCAGGGAGUUUUUCAAAGAGUCUUUUCAUACAUUUAUUUGGAGGAAUUUUUUUUAAACCCAAGUUGUACACAUCUUGCUUAUAGAGUGCAUCUAAUAUGAGAUAUGACUGUUGAAUCCUGGAGGUAGACCAUUGGUAUCCUAGUGCACCUAGUUCGUCUUCAAGGAGAAUGAAUCUAUUUCAAGGACAGUAUUUAUCACAUCUUAGCCGAUAAGUUUUUCUUUUUAUUAAUUAUGUUCUUUGUUUGUCUUUUGGGCUAGUCAAUUGUUUCCAUACCCUUAAAACCAACAAUCUUGAAAUAUAUUCCAAUGAAAGCUUCCCUAGUUUACACCCGUCCUGACACCUCUAAAUUUGAUGCCUUCAAUGGGACAUUCUUUAAGAGAUGACAGGAAAGGGUUUUCUUUGCAAUUGAUGUAGUGAACUUGGAACACAUUUUGACUAACCCAAAACCAAAAAAUGGUUCUCAUAUGUUACCAACCUGUGAAACUGGAAAUAAACAAGUUAGGCAUGCUAUUUUGAGUAUCAUUUCUAAUGAACUUUUUGAUAUUUAUUGUCAAUUAAAAGUUGCAAAAGAAAUUUGGGAUGCAAUAAAUAAAAAAUAUAUUUUGGAAGAUGCAGGAACUCAGAAAUAUGCCAUAGGGAAUUUUAGAAAUUUCCAAAUGACCAAGGAUGGAGAUGUAUCAUCUCAAAUCCAUGAUUACCACUUGUUGAUUAAUGACUUAGCUAUUAAAGACAUUAAAUUACUCGAAACUUUUGUAGCUGGUUAUUUAGUAGAGACUCUUCUAGAGUCUUGGAAAAAAAUACAAAAAUAACAUGAAAUAUAAAAGGAAACAAAUGUCCCAAGAGGAUGUCAUAAUCCAUAUUAGGAUUGAAGAACAAAACCGAAAUAGGGACAAUGUUGAGAAAACUAAGGAAUUGUUUUCUAAGGCUAAUGUAAUAGAAGAAAAACCUAAACCCAAAAAUAAUAAGUCCAAGAAACAAAACUCUAGGACCAAGCCCAAUGCAUCAAACGAGGUCCAGAACUCAACUAUUAAAAAAUAGGAUAAUUACUUUGUUUGUGGCAAGUCUGGACACCAUGCAGCUCAAUGUCGCCACAGGAAGAGAACUAAUAAGUCCAAUUCAAAGGCAAAUAUGACAGAGGCAAAGGUAAUCACAGUAGUAAUCUUCUCUGAGGUGAGCAUGGUCACCAAUAUGAAAGAAUGGGUGGUAGACUCUAGGGCUACCAGACACAUAUGUGGGAAUAGAAGUGCAUUUACUUCCCAUACCAUUGUAAAGGAAGGAGAUAAACAAGUGUUUAUGGGUGAUUCUAGAUCUACUCCAGUGAUUGGCAAAGGGAAAGUUCUCUUCAAGCUAACCUCUGAAAAAGUGCUUGCCCUCAGUGAUGUUCUUCAUGUGCCAGAUAUCCGCUAGAACUUGGUGUCGAUAUCUUUGCUUGGAAAAGCAGGAGUGAGGAUCUUGUUUGACUCUGAUAAAAUAGUUUUAACAAAGAAUCAUGCAUUUAUGGGAAAAAGUUAUUGUAAUCAGGGUUUAUUUAUGUUGAAUGUUCAUGAUAUUAUCAAUAAUAAUGCAUCUUCUUCUUCUGCUUACAUAGUUUAUUCUUAUGAUAUUUGACAUGGUAGACUAGGACAAGCAAACUUUUCAUAUAUGAAGAAAAUGGUUGAAUUGAGUUUCAUCCCUAAACUGUCCUUAGAAAAUGUGAAUCUUGUGUAGAAUCUAAAAUUAUAAAGAAAUCUUGCAAAUAAGUUAAAAGAGAAUCAAAUCUACUAAGUUUAAUACACAGUGACUUAGGAGACCUAAAAAAUACAAUGACUAGAGGUGGUAAACGAUUCUACAUAACUUUCAUAGAUGAAUACUCAAGGUAUAAGGGUAUAUCUUUUGAGAAACAAAGAUGAAGCAAGAGAUGCUUUCAUCAAGUACAAAAAUGAAGUGAAAAAUCAACUAAGUAAGAAAAUUAAAAGACUUAGAAUUGAUAAGGGAGGAGAGUAUGAGUCCAACCCCUUUAAUUCUUUUUGUGAAGAUCAUGAGAUCAUUUAGAAAACUACUCCUCCUUAUUCCCCUGAGUCUAAUGGAGUAGUAGAAAAGAAAAAUAGGACCUUAAAAGAAAUAAUGAAUGCAAUGUUGGUAAGUUCAGGAACACCCUUAAACUUGUGGGGGGAAGCUAUCUUAUCUGCAUGUCAUAUUCAAAAUAGAAUACCUUACAAGAAAAUUGGUAAAACUCCUUAUGAGUUGUGGAAGGGUUAUGCACCUAAUAUAGCAUACCUGGAAGUGUGAGGGUGUUUAGCUAAAGUUUUUCUCCCUGAACCUAAAAAACGAAAACUAGGUCCUAAAACCUUUGAUGUAAUGUUAUACUGAGAAUGGUGCGGCAUAUAGGUUUCUUGUUACUAAGUCAUAAAAUAGUCCUAUAGAUGUCAAUACUAUAAUAGAAACAAAGAAUGCAGAUUUCUUUGAAAACAUAUUUCCUAUGAAACUAAAUGGUGAACAACAAGUUCAAAAAACAAGUAAAGACAAGUCUAUUGAACCUUCUGAAUUUGAACCUAGAAGGAGUAAAAAAGAUAGGAAAUAAACAAACUUUGGAGAUGGUUUCUACACAUUCCUAAUAGAUGAGGACCCUAGAUCCUACAAAGAAGCUAUAACUUCUCCUGAUGCACCAUUAUGAAUGAGAGUUGGUAGAUUUACCUCCUGGUGCAAAGACUAUUGGUUGUAAGUGGAUAUUUAAAAGAAAGUUAAAACAAGAUGGGUCCAUAGAGAAGUAUAAAGCUCGCUUAGUUGCCAAAUGCUUUAAACAAAUGAAUGAUGUAGAUUACUUUGACAUCUUUGCCCCUGUGACUAGAAUAACAUCAAUUAAAGUAUUGAUCGCUCUAGCUUCCAUUCAUAAUUUGGUGAUACACCAAAUGGAUGUCAAGACUACAUUCUUGAAUGGGGAUUUGGAAGAAGAAAUUUAUAUGGAUCAACUUGAGGGUUGUGUAGCUCCAAAUAAGGAGAAAAAAGUGUAUAAGUUAGUUAAAUCACUAUAUGGGUUAAAACAAGUUCCCAAGUAGUGGCACAACAAGCUUGAUCAUGUGUUAGUAACUAAUGGAUAUUCCAUUAAUGAUGCCGAUAAGUGUAUCUACAACAAGUAUGAGGAUAACACAUGUGUAGUCAUCUACCUUUAUGUUGAUGACAUGUUGAUCUUUGGAACUAGCCUAGAGGUUGUGUGUGAGACUAAAAGAUUCCUAGGUUCUAAGUUUGAUAUGAAAGACCUAGGAGAGACAAAGGUGAUUCUAGGAAUUAAAAUAACUAGAACACCUAAUGGGCUUAAACUCUCUCAAGAGCACUAUGUUGAAAAAAUCCUAAGGAAGUUUGAACACUUUGAAUAUAAACCGGCGUCAACUCCUUAUGAUCCUAGCUCACAAUUGAAGAAAAAUAGAGAAUAUAGUGUUGCCCAAAUAGAAUAUGCUCAGAUCAUAGGAAGCCUGAUGUACUUAAUGAACCACACCAGACCUGCCAUUGCUUAUGUAGUAAGUAGAUUGAGUCGGUACACCCAAAGUCCUAAUUAGGACCAUUGGAUUGUUGUUCGUAAAGUCCUUAAGUAUUUGAGAGGCACCAUUAACUAUGGUUUGUGCUUUAGUGGAUUUCCAAAUGUCCUUGAAGGAUUUAGUGAUGCAAAUUGGAUCUUAGAUUCAGAUGAGAUGGAAUCCACUAGUGGAUAUGUUUUCAUCCUUUGUGGAAGUGCAGUUUCUUGGAAGUCUGCCAAGCAAACUAGCAUUACUUAGUCUACUAUGGAGGCUAAGUUUAUUGCCUUAGAAAAGACAAGUUCUGAGGCUGAGUAACUUAGAAACCUCUUAACAUGUAUCCUUUUAUGGACAAGACUAGCCCCGUCUAUGUCUAUGUGUUGUGAUAGCCAAAUUGCAAUUGCUAAGACUAAGAGUAAAAUAUUUAAUGGGAAGAACAGACGUAUAAGCCUAAGGCACAAUAUUGCGCGACAGCUUCUUGAAUCAGGGGUUAUAUCCCUAGAAUUUGUGAGAUUAGAGUUGAAUUUGGUCGAUCAUUUGACCAAACCACUAAAUAAGAAACUAGUGGAAGAAACAUCGAAUGGGAUGGGGCUUAUGCCUAUUACAAAAGUCAAGAGUGGUGGUAAUCCAACAUAUUAGAAUGGAAAUUCCAUGAAGUAGGUUGAUAUGGGUAAUAACAAAUCACUUCUUGACUUGAGGUGCUCUAUCAACUCUAAUUGUAUGAGAGUCUAUCCUUAUAGUGUGGAUAGAGCGUAUUCUGCAUUGAUUAAGGUUGAGUGUUUACUCUUAAUGAAUACCAUAUUCCUUAUGGACGGUAUGUUUAAUGCAAAACAUACUUGAUGGAUUCACCUAUAUGAAAGUGGAGGUGGGGUCGCUUCCUAUGAGAACUUAGGCAGGUUUUCUAGAGCUCUCAUGAAUAUCUAGGUAAAGUGCAUGACUUAUUUGUGUCAACCCGUUUUGUACAACUCGUAGUGUAGUUGAGAAAACCAAUAUGGAUAAAAGUCCUUUGAGUUACAUCAAGAAAAACUGGUUCAUAUUGGGAAUUAUUUUUAUUUUAUUUUAUUCUAUUAGUCUUAUAUUUUUGGGAAGAAUCCUAUUGGGAUUGUGCUAGUGGAGUCCCAUUUUUUUUGUAAGUAGAAUCCCCUUCCACUUUGAGUCAUAUUCUAAUUACAAGUAAAGUCCCAUUGGGACUGUAUUAGUGACCUAUAAAAACAGGUCACCCCUCACUCUCUAAACGAAUACCAAUUUUUCAGAGAGUUUUUCAGAUAGUCUUUUCAUACAUCUUGUAGAACCUCAAGCAUUACCAACUCUUCUAAAAGCAAUUGCUUGUAGGAAAGGCAUAUACCCUAACCUUAUAGUGCAUUCACCCAAGCGCCCACGACGAACACAAGGGGAGUUGAUGGAUGCGACCCCUAAUGACACCCCUGGGGUUCGAACCCGUGACCUCGGCUCUAAUACCACUUAUAGGACCUCAGACGCUACCAACUCUCCUAUAAGCAAUUGCUUGUAGGAAAGACGCAUACCCUAGCCUUAUAGUGCAUUUACCCAAGCGCCCACGACGAACACAAGGGGAGUUGAUGGACGUGGCCAACCCUCCAAUCUGCCAACACAUCUAUCUGGAGGAAUUUUUUUUAAACCCGAGUUGUACACAUCUCGCUUACAGAGUGCACCCAAGGCGAGAUCUGACUAUUGAAUCCUGGAGAUAGACCAUUGGUACCUAGUGCACCAAGUUUGUCUUUGAGAAUGGUGGAUUUAUUUCAAAAACAAUGUUUGUCAUGCCUCAGCCGAUAAGUUUUUCUUCUUAUUAAUUAUGUUCUUUAUUUGUGUCUUUUAAGCUAGUCAAUUGUUUCCAUACCCUUAAAACCAAUAGUUCUAUCAAGGAUGCCCAAAAAAUCAAUUGAAUUCCCAAUGAUCAAAUUUUUAAAUUUCUUUUCAUAAUUUCGAAUUUUUGAAAUACCUAACAUAAAACCGAAAUAAAUGGUUUGGUUUUACGAUUUCUUAUAUUAUCCAUUUAGGAGAUAUUUUUUUUCACAAUUGAAUACAUUUAUAUGAUUGGACCACUUAGAGCCCGUUUGGUAGUAAUUCUAAAAAACGCUUUUAAUAUUUUUAAUACUUGAAAAAAUUUAUUAUUCAAGUGUUAGAAAUACUAAAAACAUUUUCUAAAAUUACUCUCAAAUGCACUCUUAGUAUCAUUAAUAGAAACAAUAAGAGUCCAUUUGACAGUGAUC